rnacentral:tRNA from 1 species
GCAUUGGUGGUUCAGUGGUAGAAUUCUCACCUUCCAUGUGGGAGACUCAGGUUCAAUUACUGGCCAACA